UGCCAGCCGCCGCGGUAAUACGGAGGGGGUUAGCGUUGUUCGGAAUCACUGGGCAUAAAGCGCACGUAGGCGGCCUACUAAGUCAGGUGUGAAAGCCCUCGGCUCAACCGGGGAAUUGCAUCCGAUACUGGUAGGCUCGAGGAUGGUUGGGGUGAGUGGAACUCCUGGUGGAGCGGUGAAAUGCGUAGAUAUCAGGAGGAACACCAGUGGCGAAAGCGGCUCACUGGACCAUCUCCGACGCUGAGGUGCGAAAGCUAGGGGAGCGAACGGGAUUAGAUA
rnacentral:rRNA from 1 species